UUCCAGACUCCUACGGGAGGCAGCAGUGGGGAAUAUUGCACAAUGGGGGAAACCCUGAUGCAGCAACGCCGCGUGAGUGAAGAAGUAUUUCGGUAUGUAAAGCUCUAUCAGCAGGGAAGAAAAUGACGGUACCUGAGUAAGAAGCCCCGGCUAACUACGUGCCAGCAGCCGCGGUAAUACGUAUGGUGCAAGCGUUAUCCGGAUUUACUGGGUGUAAAGGGAGCGCAGGCGGCACGGCAAGCCUGAUGUGAAAGCCCGCGGCCCAACCGCGGGACUGCAUUGGGAACUACCGGGCUGGAGUGCCGGAGAGGUAGGCGGAAUUCCUAGUGUAGCGGCGAAAUGCGUAGAUAUUAGGAGGAACACCAGUGGCGAAGGCGGCCUACUGGACGGUGACUGACGCUGAGGCUCGAAAGCGUGGGGAGCAAACAGGAUUAGAUACCCGGUA
rnacentral:rRNA from 1 species